CUGGCAACAGCGUUGCCGCUGGGAGUCCUCUGACCACAGGGCUCUGCUCCCUCACUUUACCUGCCGGCCCAGGGACAUACACCUUCGGCACCCCGAGCCUCUGUGUAAGAAGUAUGGCUGCCCUGAAGCCAUUGUACCAGAGAGAUGGACAGACCACGUACUGGAAACUGCAGCACUGGAGAAACAGAAAGGGAUGUCUGAGGAGCCCAGCUGUUGAGUCUUCUCAGCCUAGGCACCAAGUCAUAUGGAAGAAGAAACUUUUGCGAUGACUCCCAUCCCGGCUAUUCUCUGAGUACAAAUGAAUGAGAGACCCCAAAAAAGAACCACCCGGCUGAGCCUUAUCAUCCCCCACAACUGUGAAAUAUCAUAAUAUUAAAUUGCAAUCAUCCUUUACACCACUAAAUCUGGGUUGGUUUGUUACACAGCAGUCGAUAACAGUUACAGACCUCUUGAGUGUAGCUGAGAUGGAGAGCAAGCCAGAGGAGCCGUGGGGAAUGGCCGCCACCCAUGUGGACCUCACUGUCACACUCUCUGCCACCUUGCUGAAGGGCAGGUCACUCCCCAGGCCCUGACUGGGGAAGGCCAGCCUUGGAUUCUUCAAAUGUAAAUGUCAUCAAAAUGCUGAACUCCCAUAAUGAAUACAAAGCGGCCUUGCUAACCACAUACUCCGCCGUGGGAGAAAUUCCCACGCCACUGGAUCACGUGCUUAAAAUUCUAAUUCAGGCAGAAAUGCUAGGUCUAGAGAUGAAGUUUUUUUCCCCUCCCCUAUGGAAUCCAUUUUAUCUUUCCCUCCCUUGAAUAUAAGAUCCCUUUGCUAGUUA